AGAGCUUUAGUUUAAUUAAAAUAUCUGUGUUGCAUACAGGAGAUGUAGUUUUGCAAGCUCUA
rnacentral:tRNA from 1 species